UACGUAGGGGGCUAGCGUUGUCCGGAAUCAUUGGGCGUAAAGCGCGUGUAGGCGGUCCGGUAAGUCCGCUGUGAAAGCCAGGGGCUCAACCCUUGGAUGCCGGUGGAUACUGUCGGGCUUGAGUACGGAAGAGGCGAGUGGAAUUCCUGGUGUAGCGGUGAAAUGCGCAGAUAUCAGGAGGAACACCAAUUGCGAAGGCAGCUCGCUGGGACGUUACUGACGCUGAGGCGCGAAAGCUAGGGGAGCAAACGGG
rnacentral:rRNA from 1 species